CAGAUGGAUUCCCAAACAUAUAUGGAAUAAAGGACCUCUAAAGCGAGCAGCAGGCGUAGGCUAUGCUCCAAGGCUUCUGCUGCUGCUCCAGGGCUUCUGCUGCCCGCACAAAUACAGUAUUAUAAAAAUGUCGCACUGCUGUAUUCGUGGUUGCUCUUAUAAGUGUAGGAGCAACAUUUCCAAACGUCCCUAUUUAAAAUGUUGGGAGCCGAUCUGGCCUAGCAUGUAGAGAAGGCACCGUAAAGAACUGGCAGUACAUUUUGUCUUACCGGAACCCUGAUCCCGCAAAAGGAGAAAGAUAUGUUUCACAGAGAAAGGUGGUGUAAAAUGAUUACUUGCUCUUGUGAAUCAUUCUAUUUAUUCUGCAAAUGAUGAUCAUCUAGACUGGUUGAAUACGAAGUUUGUUCAGUAUCUUUUGGAUUGGCAAGUAAACGUUUAAAGAGGUUGGGUAUGGUGUGAAUGUGAUAUGGCAAUGAAAAGCGAUAAAACAAAUUAAGGUGAUAACACUUCCUACGGCACG